GUAACGGGUAUAAGAAAUACUCUGAUUAUUUUAUUGAAAUCCCUGCAAAAAUAUGUAUAUCGCCUGUAUAUUGCCUUGUAAUGAGGGGUUCAAUUGCGCCAUCUGCUGGUACCUGGAAGUCUACAUAUAUGACCGCAACCCGAGUGCUCUUAGUAGUCUUGUAGUUCUCUGCUAGGACUAAACCAGUGGAGGUGCUAAACUACAAAUUGUGUAUAUGUGUGUCUACCACUCAUUACAGGUAAUAAUUGUGUUGUAAUUGUGUGUUUAAAGUGUCAGGACGUUUGCGUUUCGGGUUUUGUCGGCCAGCAUGUUGUCCGCCAUGUUUGAAAAAGGGACAACGUGGCCUUUGUGAUUUGAUGGUCACCACUAGUGGGUGCUGUUACAGUUUAAUCAUUUAUUUGAUGUUGCGUCUUGCAUUUAGUAUUUUUCUAUUGAUGAUUUCAUAAAUAUAUAAAAAAGAAUGAUGUUUGUUAAAAAACUCAUUCAGAAUAUAUUGGAUUGAAUUCAUUGUAAAAGCAGUAACGUUAAAACCCAGUUAAAACCACUAUACGAUCACAUGUUAAAAAGUAUUCUGUUAAAAACCAUUUUAAGUCACAUCUUAAAAUGUAUUUGUCAUGUAUGUCAUGUAAUUGUAAAAAGAUGUAAUGUACUUUAGUAGUCUUGUAGUUCUCUGCUAGGACUAAACCAGUGGAGGUGCUAAACUACAAAUUGUGUAUAUGUGUGUCUACCACUCAUUACAGCUCAGCUAUAAAGGAUCACAUCAUCCUA